rnacentral:rRNA from 1 species
GACGAACGCUGGCGGCGUGCUUAACACAUGCAAGUCGAACGGAGUGGCGAACGGGUGAGUAACACGUGGGUGACCUGCCCUGCACUUCGGGAUAAGCCUGGGAAACUGGGUCUAAUACCGGAUAGUGUGGGAUGGGCCUGCGGCCUAUCAGCUGGUUGGGGGGGUAAUGGCCGACCAAGGCGGCGACGGGUAGCCGGCCUGAGAGGGUGGACGGCCACAGUGCGACUGAGAUACGGGCCAGAGCCCUACGGGAGGCAGGGGAGGGGACUAUAGCACAAUGGGCGGAAGUAUGAUGCAGCGACGCCGCGUGGGGGAUGACGGCCUUCGGGUUGAAAACUCCUUUCACCAUCGACGCGGUAGAUGGAGAAGAAGCACCGGCUAACUACGUGCCAGCAGCCGCGGUAAUUC